UACGAAGGGGGCUAGCGUUGCUCGGAAUUACUGGGCGUAAAGGGCGCGUAGGCGGAUAGUUCAGUUGGGGGUGAAAGCCCGGGGCUCAACCUCGGAACUGCCUUCAAUACUGGCCAUCUUGAGUACGGGAGAGGUGUGUGGAACUCCGAGUGUAGAGGUGAAAUUCGUAGAUAUUCGGAAGAACACCAGUGGCGAAGGCGACACACUGGCCCGUUACUGACGCUGAGGCGCGAAAGCGUGGGGAGCAAACAGG
rnacentral:rRNA from 1 species